AUACGGAGAGUGCAAACGUUGUUCGGAAUCACUGGGCGUAAAGGGCGCGCAGGCGGUUUGAUUAGUCAGAUGUGAAAGCCCACGGCUUAACCGUGGAAGUGCAUUUGAAACUGUCAGACUUGAGUACCAGAGGGGGUAGUGGAAUUCCCGGUGUAGAGGUGAAAUUCGUAGAUAUCGGGAGGAAUACCGGUGGCGAAGGCGACUACCUGGCUGGAUACUGACGCUGAGGCGCGAAAGCGUGGGGAGCAAACAGGAUUAGAAACCCCUGUAGUCC
rnacentral:rRNA from 1 species